rnacentral:tRNA from 3 species
GCUGCCUUAGCUCAGUCGGUAGAGCAGCUGAUUUGUAAUCAGCAGGUCGUGGGUUCGAGGCCUACAGGCAGCA